CGCUGACUGAUGAGUCCUGAAUAGGACGAAAUGCGCAUCUCGGAU
rnacentral:hammerhead_ribozyme from 1 species